GGGUUUGGAGUUGGUUGUGCUGUGAAGAAGGAGGAGUCUGUGCUAUGAAGGGCUGCCCAUGAGAAAUCACUGAGAAGAAAAAAUGGAGGGAAGAUGUUAAAGAAUUUGAAGAAAGUAAUUUAAUUCUCUUUAAAGAGUGUGGAUGAUCUUGUUGCAUGACAUAGCAAGAGCCUCUUCCUUCUGCUGAUCCCUCUGGAAGAAAUACCACACAUGGGCUGUUUAUUAAAGAGCACCGGAGUACACUUUCUAGACACAUAUCUCAGAGUCACAGAAGCCAAUUUUAUAUGCCUUCACAAAUUCUGCAUUCCUUCCAGACCAUCUGCUUAACAGAUAAUAGAAACUUCUGACACAUAUUGAAUGAAGUGUCAUUCAGGUUUAAGGGAAAAGAGACUUCCUGAAUUAAUGAUUAACAAAUGAUGGCAUUAACUGGUUGAUAAAUCUUUCAGAAACUCCUUAUAUAUAUAACAUGAUGAGGAGAAUGCCUCUUCCUGCCUGACUUUAGAGUGCUUUGCUGAAGAAUUUCUUUAAAGAAGUGAAAUUGAGAAGAUAAGGGUCAAAGAUUACAGACUUCAAGCAUCAGUGGGUGUGCAAGAAUAGACUAAGAAAGAAGACAUUUCUACGCUAUAUUAAAUGUUAAAACCCAAAUUUUGUGUGCCAAGAGAGUGCACCAUUCAUUUCUCAGUCAUCUGCACAUAAAACACCCAUGAAAAUCAAGGAACAGGAUUUUCAGUUCUUUAAUCUCCAAACUCAAACACACUGUGCACAGCUAAAGUUCCUCCUAGAUAAAACAUUGGAAGCAAAAAUCAGUGUGCAAAAAGUGGUCUGUACCAAAACACAUUGAAAAUGUGAUACAUUAAAUAUGUGCUAGGUUUUAUGAGUAUCUUCAAGCCUGUAAGCAGGUAAAACCUUUUUAAUUUAAAGUAAUCAGUUUUUUGCAAAGAAAAUUGUAGCUGACCUGAAAUGCAGUGUCACCUUCUCAUACAAACCACAAAACUGAAAAGGCCAUCUCUCUUAAAUUGUACUGGUGAUUACUGUCAUUAUUGUACAUUCCAGCGACUUUUUCCAAAACAAAAUUUUUCAUGUGUUUAUUUUCUCAAUUUCUUUCCUGUUCGUUUUCACCACAACUACUUGUGCACUAUUCUAAAGGCAUAUCAAGAAAAUGCACUGAUAACAUAAGAACUCUAUUUUAGCAGUAUAUUUAUAUUUAAUUUUGGUCUGCUUUAAGCUAAUUCUAGUCAACGAAGUGGAAAAGGGGUAGUGGUGCAGUGCAGGGUGAUAGUGGGGGGAGUUGAAAUAUUCCUGAAAAUAGCUUCUUAGCCAUGGAAUAAAUCAGUAUGUAAAAUGUUGUGCCUCUUCCCUGCUUGAAUAGACAGUGGAUAGGAGCAAGGCCUAAUUUAGCAUCAAUUUGUAUCACAUGAGACACUAGGUAGAAUCAUAAAGUAGUCUUUGCUAUUCACUGGACAUCAUUAACAAUCUCUGAAGUUGGGGAGAAUUUCCGUUCAGUAUCCUGCCUAAGUCUGCAAAUUUAUUAUUUCAGUGCUGUGCCCUGUCAUAAGCCCUGCCCUCCAGGUUGAAUUUGAUCAACAGCUCAAUAGAUAUUUUGAACUAUCAUCAACCAUUACCUAAAAGUUUAGUCAUGCAAAUAAAUGUAUGCCACUGUGUUGUACCUACAUUUGUUCUUCAGCUAUUUCAGUGGUUCUAUUUUUAAGUACUGAGAAUUCAAAUAAAUUUCCUCUAAAAUCUCUUUAGAACAGUCAUAUAUCAUGUGCUGUAGUCUCUAUGCAAUGAGGGUCAAAAUAAAUCUGUUAGGCAACAUUUUGGAUGCAGUCUUAUAUUAAUAAAAAAAGUCAAAAUUACCCCUUGGGAGACAUAGCCAGAAAGAUUUGAUAAAAAUUUAUCUAUCUUUAGUGAAACACAAUUUCUCUGAAAAGUAAAAAGAUGAUAAAUGAAAGAAAAAGUUGAAUGGAGAGAUUGAAAAAGAGCAAGAGAAAAAUGUGGUGAGCAGGAUGUAACAUUGCAGUGGAAAUAAACUUCUUAAUUAUGUACUGACAGCUCUUCCCAUUUUUACCAUGCCUGAAAUACCUUACAUCAACUAAUAAGGACUGAGGUGUGGUUAAAUGUUAGAGUUCUAAGUGUAAUAUUAUCUUUGGAAAAUGACAAAUUAUUGUAAAGCUAAAUUGAUAAAUUUGCUUUUUCUAGGAAGAUUUAGUCAUUCCUACAUUAAAAUGUGUUCUCAGAUGUAUAUAUUGCAUUUUACCCUCUUCUGACAAGCAUGAGUUCUCUUGCGGUUUUAAUCUACCUUUCUUCUAAAAAUUCUACUCAUGCCAAGCUACUUCAGGGCACCAAAAGCAGUACUGGUUUGCAGUCAAUGUCUGGUAAGUGGAAAGGAAUUAUCUCAAGUGCAAGGCAAAACUUAACUAAAAAUCUGCUGAACUAUGUUUUAAAAGUACUUUUUAAAAAAUUGCAAUAUCAACCACUUAUUGAAGAGAUAUGAACAAAGCUAGAAAAAAUUAUUGAAAAUGUUUCAUUUGAAAGACAGUGAUAGUAAGAAUGGAAAGGGAAACUGAAGGAAGUAGGUCUGUUUGAGAAGCCCAA